rnacentral:rRNA from 1 species
UGCAGUCGAACGGUGAAGGAGGAGCUUGCUCCUUUGGAUCAGUGGCGAACGGGUGAGUAACACGUGAGUAACCUGCCCCAGACUCUGGGAUAAGCACUGGAAACGGUGUCUAAUACCGGAUACGAGCUUCAGCCGCAUGGCUAGGAGCUGGAAAGAAUUUCGGUCUGGGAUGGACUCGCGGCCUAUCAGCUAGUUGGUGAGGUAAUGGCUCACCAAGGCGACGACGGGUAGCCGGCCUGAGAGGGUGACCGGCCACACUGGGACUGAGACACGGCCCAGACUCCUACGGGAGGCAGCAGUGGGGAAUAUUGCACAAUGGGCGCAAGCCUGAUGCAGCAACGCCGCGUGAGGGACGACGGCCUUCGGGUUGUAAACCUCUUUUAGUAGGGAAGAAGCGAAAGUGACGGUACCUGCAGAAAAAGCACCGGCUAACUACGUGCCAGCAGCCGCGGUAAUACGUAGGGUGCAAGCGUUAUCCGGAAUUAUUGGGCGUAAAGAGCUCGUAGGCGGUUUGUCGCGUCUGCUGUGAAAACUGGAGGCUCAACCUCCAGCCUGCAGUGGGUACGGGCAGACUAGAGUGCGGUAGGGGAGAUUGGAAUUCCUGGUGUAGCGGUGGAAUGCGCAGAUAUCAGGAGGAACACCGAUGGCGAAGGCAGAUCUCUGGGCCGUAACUGACGCUGAGGAGCGAAAGCAUGGGGAGCGAACAGGAUUAGAUACCCUGGUAGUCCAUGCCGUAAACGUUGGGAACUAGAUGUAGGGACCAUUCCACGGUUUCUGUGUCGCAGCUAACGCAUUAAGUUCCCCGCCUGGGGAGUACGGCCGCAAGGCUAAAACUCAAAGGAAUUGACGGGGGCCCGCACAAGCGGCGGAGCAUGCGGAUUAAUUCGAUGCAACGCGAAGAACCUUACCAAGGCUUGACAUAUACCGGAAAAGUUCAGAAAUGUUCUCCCCGCAAGGUCGGUAUACAGGUGGUGCAUGGUUGUCGUCAGCUCGUGUCGUGAGAUGUUGGGGUUAAGUCC